UACAUACUCCCUCCGUCCCAAAAUUCUUGUCUUAGAUUUGUCUAUAUAUGAAUGUACCUAGUCAAGUUUUAGUAUUUAGAUACAUUCAUUUCUAGACAAACCUAAGACAAGAAUUUUGGGACGGAGGGAGUAUGUA
rnacentral:pre_miRNA from 1 species